UAAUUAGCAAUUAAAUCACUAAUUAAAUCUCUCAUAAAUAUUGAGUCCAAAUCCGAUGGAUAAUCGGGCAUCAGAAUUCAUCGAUAUGUAACCCUGAUCGAAGAGUCCCAGACCAGUGGGACUCUUGACCCCGGUACCCAAAAUGUGUGGGACUCGUGAUCAGAGAAUCCUGAUUCUCGAUCACAGAGUCUCAGACACGUAGGACUUAUAGUCCA
rnacentral:lncRNA from 1 species